AUACAUGCAAGUCGAGCGAACGGACGAGAAGCUUGCUUCUCUGAUGUUAGCGGCGGACGGGUGAGUAACACGUGGAUAACCUACCUAUAAGACUGGGAUAACUUCGGGAAACCGGAGCUAAUACCGGAUAAUAUUUUGAACCGCAUGGUUCAAAAGUGAAAGACGGUCUUGCUGUCACUUAUAGAUGGAUCCGCGCUGCAUUAGCUAGUUGGUAAGGUAACGGCUUACCAAGGCAACGAUGCAUAGCCGACCUGAGAGGGUGAUCGGCCACACUGGAACUGAGACACGGUCCAGACUCCUACGGGAGGCAGCAGUAGGGAAUCUUCCGCAAUGGGCGAAAGCCUGACGGAGCAACGCCGCGUGAGUGAUGAAGGUCUUCGGAUCGUAAAACUCUGUUAUUAGGGAAGAACAUAUGUGUAAGUAACUGUGCACAUCUUGACGGUACCUAAUCAGAAAGCCACGGCUAACUACGUGCCAGCAGCCGCGGUAAUACGUAGGUGGCAAGCGUUAUCCGGAAUUAUUGGGCGUAAAGCGCGCGUAGGCGGUUUUUUAAGUCUGAUGUGAAAGCCCACGGCUCAACCGUGGAGGGUCAUUGGAAACUGGAAAACUUGAGUGCAGAAGAGGAAAGUGGAAUUCCAUGUGUAGCGGUGAAAUGCGCAGAGAUAUGGAGGAACACCAGUGGCGAAGGCGACUUUCUGGUCUGUAACUGACGCUGAUGUGCGAAAGCGUGGGGAUCAAACAGGAUUAGAUACCCUGGUAGUCCACGCCGUAAACGAUGAGUGCUAAGUGUUAGGGGGUUUCCGCCCCUUAGUGCUGCAGCUAACGCAUUAAGCACUCCGCCUGGGGAGUACGACCGCAAGGUUGAAACUCAAAGGAAUUGACGGGGACCCGCACAAGCGGUGGAGCAUGUGGUUUAAUUCGAAGCAACGCGAAGAACCUUACCAAAUCUUGACAUCCUUUGACAACUCUAGAGAUAGAGCUUUCCCCUUCGGGGGACAAAGUGACAGGUGGUGCAUGGUUGUCGUCAGCUCGUGUCGUGAGAUGUUGGGUUAAGUCCCGCAACGAGCGCAACCCUUAAGCUUAGUUGCCAUCAUUAAGUUGGGCACUCUAAGUUGACUGCCGGUGACAAACCGGAGGAAGGUGGGGAUGACGUCAAAUCAUCAUGCCCCUUAUGAUUUGGGCUACACACGUGCUACAAUGGACAAUACAAAGGGCAGCGAAACCGCGAGGUCAAGCAAAUCCCAUAAAGUUGUUCUCAGUUCGGAUUGUAGUCUGCAACUCGACUACAUGAAGCUGGAAUCGCUAGUAAUCGUAGAUCAGCAUGCUACGGUGAAUACGUUCCCGGGUCUUGUACACACCGCCCGUCACACCACGAGAGUUUGUAACACCCGAAGCCGGUGGAGUAACCU
rnacentral:rRNA from 1 species